rnacentral:rRNA from 1 species
GACGAGGGACCUAGCGUUGUUCGGAAUCAUUGGGCGUAAAGCGGAUGUAGGUGGCUUUGUAAGUCAGGUGUGAAAGCCCAGAGCCUCAACUCUGGGAAGUGCAUUUGAUACUGCGAAGCUUGAGUGUGGAAGAGGUAAGUAGAAUACCUGGUGUAGUGGUGAAAUACGUAGAUAUCAGGUGGAAUACCGGAGGCGAAGGCGGCUUACUGGUCCAACACUGACACUGAGAAUCCGAAAGGCGUGGGGAUCAAACAGG